GCUUAGAAGCAGCCACUCAUUAAAAGAGUGCGUAAUAGCUCACUGGUCGAGUGACCCUGCGCCGAAAAUUCAACGGGGCUAAAUUAUACACCGAAGCUUGGGAUACCGCAAGGUAUGGUAGGAGAGCGUUCUGUAAGGAGUGAAGUGAGAGCGAAAGCGUUCGUGGACUUUACAGAAGUGAGAAUGCCGGAAUGAGUAGCGAGAAAUAUGUGAGAAUCAUAUUGGCCGAAAGUCUAAGGUUUUUGGAGGAAGGUUCGUCCGCUCCAAGUAAGUCGGGAGCUAAGGUGAGGCCUAACGGCGUAGCCGAUGCACAUACGGUAGAUAUUCCGUAACCACCGAAAGAUUUAAACACAGGGACACCUUGAAAGGGCAUAUCCCGGGAGUUGGUUUACCCGGGCGUAAGGGAUCGAAAUUUGAGUAGAGAAGUAUGUUUGGACGAGGGCGAGAAAAGCUGUGUGUAUAUUUUAGGUGCCCGUACCGCAAACCGACACAGGUGGACAGGAAGAGGAUUCUAAGGCCAACGGGAGAAGGGUAAUUAAGGAACUCGGCAAAUUGACCCCGUAACUUAGGGAUAAGGGGUGCUCAUAGGAAUAUGAGCCGCAGAGAAUAGGCCCAGGCAACUGUUUAUCAAAAACACAGGUCUCUGCCAAAUCGAAAGAUGAAGUAUAGGGGCUGACACCUGCCCGGUGCUGGAAGGUUAAGAGGAGGAGUGAGAGCUCCGAAUUGAAGCCCCAGUAAACGGCGGCCGUAACUAUAACGGUCCUAAGGUAGCGAAAUUCCUUGUCGGGUAAGUUCCGACCCGCACGAAUGGUGUAAUGAUCUGGGCACUGUCUCAAUUACCCGCCCGGCGAAAUUGUAGUACCGGUGAAGAUGCCGGUUACCCGCGACAAGACGGAAAGACCCCAUGGAGCUUUACUGCAGCUUGAUAUUGGGUUUCGGUAAUCUAUGUACAGGAUAGGCGGGAGACUAGGAAGUAAAGGCGCCAGCUUUUACGGAGUCGGCCUUGGGAUACCGCUCUUAGAUUGCUGGAAUUCUAACCUGCGGCCAUGAAACUGGUCGGGGAACAUUGUCAGGCGGGCAGUUUGACUGGGGCGGUCGCCUCCUAAAGAGUAACGGAGGCGCUCAAAGGUUGGCUCAGCACGGACGGAAACCGUGCCUCUGAGUGUAAACGCACAAGCCAGCCUAACUGCGAGGAUGACGGUCCGAGCAGUAACGAAAGUUGGAGUUAGUGAUCCGGCGGUAUGUGAAUGGAAAUGCCGUCGCUCAACGGAUAAAAGCUACCCUGGGGAUAACAGGCUGAUCU
rnacentral:rRNA from 1 species